AUGACGCUGUGGUUGCCGCUUCUUCUCUGGAUCACUGCGGCCGCCGGCGUACCCCAAGCUCGCGCUCAGCCUGACAACAAAGGAUUCAUAACCAUAGAUUGUGGUCUCUCGGAGGAGAUGGGCUAUGUGGACAACGCCACCAAGCUCUCGUACACCCCCGACGCUGGCUUCAUCGAUGCCGACACCGGCACGAACCAUAUUAUCUCGCCGGAGUAUGUCGUCCCGGCUUUGGCCAAGGUUUGGUACAGUUUGCGUAGCUUCCCAACCGGCAUGCGGAACUGCUACACGCUUCGCUCCCUCAUGCCCGGGCUCAAGUACAUGAUCCGAGGGAGGUUCAAGUACGGCAACUACGACGGCCUUGAUCGGCUGCCAGUGUUUGACCUCCAUAUCGGCGCCAACUACUGGCACACCGUGAACAUCACGAACUCAACGGAUGCGGUGUUCGUGGAGGCCAUCGUGGUGGUGCCGGAAGACUUCAUGCAGGUCUGCCUGGUGGACACCGGUGGCGGUACGCCGUUCAUUUCUGGCCUGGACCUGAGGCCGCUGAAAAGAACACUCUACCCGCAGGUGACCCCGGCACAGGGUCUGGUCCUAUUUGCCAGGCUCAACUUCGGCCCGACCGACGAGACCUUCUACGUUAGGUAUCCCGAUGAUCCACACGACCGGAUAUGGAGGCCUUGGGGCAACAAGGUAAUGUGGACCGAGAUAUCAAUGGCCAGCGGGGUGCAGAACAUAGCCAACGAAGACUUAUUCGAGGCGCCCAAGGCGGUGUUGAAGACGGCGAUCAAGCCUCGGAAUGCCUCUGGGGACUUAGAAUUCACCUGGUACCCCGUGCCCACCCCCAAAGACCCGUCCCCCGGGUACAUUGCCAUCCUGCACUUCGCCGAGCUAGAGAUCCUACCCAACAACACUGUGCGCCAGCUGAAUAUCACCCUCAACAGCAAGCCGUUGUAUUUGUAUACAAGCGACAUCGUGCCGGAUCGUAUCUAUGAUAUCGCCCUCUACAACAGUGGCCCCUUCAUCCGUCACAACAACUACACAAUCUCCAUCAACGCCACGGCUAACUCGACGUUGCCGCCUAUCAUCAACGCGGCCGAGAUCUUCUCCCUCAUCCCCACAACCAACCUUGGCACCGACUCCCAGGAUGUUUCCGCAAUCAUGGCGAUCAAGGCCAAGUAUCAAGUGAAGAAAAACUGGAUGGGUGAUCCGUGUGUUCCGAAGAGUAUGGCAUGGGACAGGUUGACCUGCAGCUACCCACCCGGCAGCCCUCCAAGGAUCACAAGCGUAAACCUGUCCUCCAGUGGUCUAAAUGGCGAUAUAUCAUCAACUUUCGCGAAUCUCAAGACAAUCCAAUACCUGGACCUGUCAAACAAUAACCUUACAGGCUCAAUUCCAGAUGCCCUUUCGCAAUUACCUUCACUGACGUUUCUGGAUGUUUCAGGCAACUAG
rnacentral:rRNA from 1 species